rnacentral:ncRNA from 1 species
AAAGCUUUUAAUACCUUGAAGUUUUGCGUGCUACGCAGAGGGUUUGUAGGGGUAUUUGGGGCUUU